UGCCUGGUGGUCUAGUGGUUAGGACUCUGCACUUUCACUGCUGUGGCCCAGGUUCAAUCCUUGGUCUGAGAA
rnacentral:tRNA from 1 species